CCUACGGGUGGCUACAGUCGAGAAUCAUUCACAAUGGGGGAAACCCUGAUGGUGCGACGCCGCGUGGGGGAAUGAAGGUCUUCGGAUUGUAAACCCCUGUCAUGUGGGAGCAAAUUAAAAAGAUAGUACCCCAAGAGGAAGACACUGCUAACUCUGUGCCAGCAGCCGCGGUAAUACAGAGGUCUCAAGCGUUGUUCGGAAUCACUGGGCGUAAAGCGUUCGUAGGCGGAUUCGUAAGUCUUGUGUGAAAGGUGCGGGCUCAACCCGCGGACGGCACAUGAUACUGCGAGACUAGAGUAAUGGAGGGGGAACCGGAAUUCUCGGUGUAGCAGUGAAAUGCGUAGAUAUCGAGAGGAACACUCGUGGCGAAGGCAGGUUCCUGGACAUUAACUGACGCUGAGGCACGAAGGCCAGGGGAGCGAAAGGGAUUAGAUACCCCUGUAGUC
rnacentral:rRNA from 1 species